rnacentral:tRNA from 3 species
GGGCCGUUAGUUUAAUGGCAAAACGAUCGCUUCACACGCGAUAGAGCGUAGGUUCGAUUCCUACACGGCCCA